rnacentral:rRNA from 1 species
AUACGGAGGGGGCUAGCGUUGUUCGGAAUUACUGGGCGUAAAGCGCGCGUAGGCGGGUUGGCAAGUUGAAGGUGAAAUCCCAGGGCUCAACCCUGGAACUGCCUCCAAAACUGCCAGUCUUGAGUUCGGAAGAGGUGAGUGGAAUUCCUAGUGUAGAGGUGAAAUUCGUAGAUAUUAGGAAGAACACCAGUGGCGAAGGCGACUCACUGGUCCGAUACUGACGCUGAGGUGCGAAAGCGUGGGGAGCAAACAGGAUUAGAAACCCGAGUAGUCC